GUUGUGUUUGUGAAAGUGGGCAUGUCUCUGGGAGAUGUGGUUGGAUCAGAGCAGUCGUACGCUCUGUCUGUCGUUGUUUGGACUCUCUGCGAGGUGAAGGUUCUGCUGAGGUUCUGCUGCGCUGAGGAAACAAAAGGAGCAACUUUUUUCAUGCUUUGGAUUGAAUCCUAUCUCCAACCAGGUCUUGGCCACUCCAGAUCUUCUCAUCGACCGUAACUCGAGCACAUCUGGAGAGAUGAUCAUCAGACUGGGCCGACUCACACCUGGAUACUUCCGUCUCCUCCAGAGACAAGUGGCCGGUGAGGUGCAGCUGCAGCCUCAGGACCGUGCUGUGAACCAGAUCGCCAUGAUGCUGGCCAUCAUGGGCCUGAGCCUGUCUUACUACAGCACCAAGCAGAUGAUGGAGAAGGUGCAGAGACAGCAGCGUGAGACACUUACAGCAGCGUGAGACACUGGUCUCACUGGUUUCUCCUCAUUGUCAACACUGUUCUGAGCUGCACCAGAAAACUCUUUCUGGCCAGAAUGUGAUUGCAGCUCAUGAGCGGUGAUGAGCUUUAGUGUUAAAGUGGCAGGAAGUAAACGUUCUGUCUGUCUGUCUGUCUGUCCUUCAGUGAAUAUUUGCACAAACACAGAUGAACUCACAAUUAUGACCUACUUUUUACUUUUUCUUUCUUUUUUCAUCCACAGUUUCAAACUGUAUUAAAUGAAUCGAUCAAGUCUAGUUAAUGUGUGUGUGUGUGAUGACCUUUAUGACCUUUAUGACCUCCCCCCUCCCCCCACGCAGUGUGGAAACUACACGCUACUGAACACUGCAUGAGUGUGCAAGACUUUUUAAGUGUGUCCUGUUUUUACUGAUGAAUGAAUGAAUAAAGCUGUGAAUCACA